AUGGACAAGAUUGGGAACUUAGCUUACAAAAUAGCGUUGCUCGAAGACAGCCGCAUCCAUCCAGUUUUCCACGUAUCUCAACUGACACCCUUCACUCUGAAUUACUCUCCGGUCUUCUCUACACUUCCCAGCACAGCUAACCUGACGAUAGUUGAAGCAACUCCAACAGCUAUCCUAGACAGACGGAUGAUGAAGCGCGGCAACGCUCAUGUGGUGCAGCUGCAGGUACAGUGGGACAAACCAGCUUCAGCAAUAACCUGGGAAGACUAUGAUGUGCUACGUCGACGCUUUCCGAUAGCAGCUAUCUGGGAUCAAGAUGGCCCGAGCGAGGACGCUCGUUCUGAAGAUGGGGAGAGUGUCACACUAGCUACACAGGACCAAGCUGUCUGA
rnacentral:rRNA from 1 species